GACGAACGCUGGCGGCGUGCUUAACACAUGCAAGUCGAACGGAAAGGCCCCAGCUUGCUGGGGUACUCGAGUGGCGAACGGGUGAGUAACACGUGGGUGAUCUGCCCUGCACUCUGGGAUAAGCCUGGGAAACUGGGUCUAAUACCGGAUAGGACCGUGCUUUAGUGUGUGCGGUGGAAAGUUUUUCGGUGCAGGAUGAGCCCGCGGCCCAUCAGCUUGUUGGUGGGGUAAUGGCCUACCAAGGCGGCGACGGGUAGCCGGCCUGAGAGGGUGUACGGCCACAUUGGGACUGAGACACGGCCCAGACUCCUACGGGAGGCAGCAGUGGGGAAUAUUGCACAAUGGGCGCAAGCCUGAUGCAGCGACGCCGCGUGGGGGAUGACGGCCUUCGGGUUGUAAACCCCUUUCGGCAGGGACGAAGCUUUUGUGACGGUACCUGCAUAAGAAGCACCGGCUAACUACGUG
rnacentral:rRNA from 1 species